AAAGCAUCUGAAACCCUAGGAAGGGCCGAACCACAUCUCUACACUAACAUCACACUAACCACCAGGUCCUAUCUGUCUGAAGAGAGGACGUCUGAUCCAUAAACACAUCCUGACCCGGGACCAAGACUGGAUGAUGAAAGGAGACAGGGUUUGGGCUACUUCUUCACCUGCUGAACAAACCCAUAUACACACGCCUCUUUUCCUCUAAAGGAGUUAAGUGUACAAUUUGAUUGACCAGCAAAUGGGUCAGAGAUGAUAAGAUUAAGCCAUAUCCCUCAUGACUUUCUUUCUCUGGGUAACUUGAGUCUCAUCUGGAAGGGCUGGUUUUUCAUUUCAAGCCUGGUUUGUUCUAAUCCUGGCCCUGGGAUCCUAGACUCUGUACUGAAGAGGCUUCCGAAGGACCAGCUGGUCUGCUUAUCCACACUCAGGUACAUUGGGACUGCCUCAGAGAUACAGAGCUUCUCUAUGUUUUAAAACUUGUUUUCCUAAUAAGAAAUGUUUCCUUCUAUGUAACCUCAUGGUCUUGUACUGCUCUUUGUCGAGACAGAAAACAGCUGGAGGUAUUGUCUGUGGGCAUCUUCUGUAUGCUUCAAGAUUCUCAGUUUUACUUUCUGCAAGCUGAAAAAUCUAGUCUCCUUAACCUCUUUUUACAAGUAUUCUUUUUCUUCCUGUAUACUAUGUUUGUGAGUGUUCCAAGAUAAAGUUUCCUUAAGUUUGUUAAUCAUUGUUAACAUCUGGAACCUUUCUAAACAUACCAAAUUGCACAUUACUCUCCAGACUUCCUGUACAAGAAUUACAGGAGCAGAGGUUGUUUGGAGCCUGAGCAGGAAUUAUCAUUCUUAAACAGGACAAAUAAAUCAUUGUGAUCUUUUUGAAGCCCAACUUAAAGUUCUCCCUUUCUCAGGGAAUGGAACCUAUUUUUCAGAGGGAUCCCUGGCAGGUCGGUUGGCACUAGCAUCCUGAAGGGACACCUGGUCUGAAGACGGCCAGGCAGAAUCUUUUCCCCAGAAUUUAGAAAUGGACCUUAUUACCAGGAGAUCAAUCUCUGAGGGUGACUAGAAGUAUGAUAUGAAGUAAAAGGAGACAAAAUUAUGGUAUGAAGAUAGAGAAGCAGGGAAAGAUGGUUUGCAGAGAAGGGGUAGAAUGAAGCAGAAGAAUGAAGCAGAUGCUCUCUAAGAGAUUCAAGAGGAAAAUGGCAAAGCAUUCCAGUGACUUUCCAGGCUUUGGUUCCAGUCUCUGCAUUCCUACUCUGGAGUUCUUGUCUAUGUUGUUUUUGCCCAUCCUAGUGUUAUAGACUGAAUUGUGUCUCCCCAAAAUUCUGAUGUUGAAACUCUACCGCACAAUGUGACUUUUGAAGAUCGGGCCUUCAGAGAGGUAAUUAAGAUCAAAUGAAGUUAUAAGUGCAGGGUCCUAAUCUGAAAACAAAACAAAACAAAACAAAACAGAACAACAACAACAACAACAACAAAACUGACAUUCUUAUAAGAAGAGGAAGGGACACCGGAGCUCUCUCUCUACCAUGUGAGGACAUUGUGAGGAGCUGGCUGUCUGCAACCCAGGAAGAGAGACCUCACCAGGAACCAACCCUGACAAUACCUUGAUCUUGCACUUCCAUUCUCCAGAAGAGUGAGAAAAUAAAUUUCUGUUGUUUAAGCCACCCAGUCUGUGAUAGUUUGGUAAGGCAACCCAAGCAGACUAAUAUGCCUGGCUAAAGUGGAUUCUCAUUACCAACCACCAAAAUGGCUUAACCAAAUAUAGAACUAACAGCUCUACCGGGACAGGGCCAUGCAUGGAUGUGAAGCCGAGAACCAUAACAGCCUUCUCCCUUUCAACCUAAAAUGAAGCCAACACACAGAGAGAAGAGGGGAUUCACAAGAACCCCAGGAAAAGAGAUGGAGCUGCUGGAUCAAAUCAACUCGAAGUUCUACCCAAUCUCUGCAUUGGCCAAUGUUGACAUUACGCGAUGCUGAAACUCUCAUUCAGAGAACACUCCUUGGAACACUUAGGAACAAAGGUCCAGAGAUGUGAAUAAAUGUGUUGCAUUGGGGGAAAGAAAAACAAUGCAGAGAGCCUAGAGAGAUCAUUUUUUCCCAAGUGUUUUGUCCUUGGAAACCCAAUCAAGCCUUCCCUUUAUCAUCCACUCACCUUGCAGCAGAUCUAUUUCUUCUUGAUUUUGUGUAAUUUGAUUCAUUCUCAGAUGUUUGUUCAUCUGAUCUUACAGUUGGUAUGGUAACGGCCUGACUGAACUGUGGUGUUUAUUUUUCACCACAAGCUCUUGUCAAGUCAGGAAGAAUCACCUUUGCCUUCUUUCAAGCAGUACAGGGGACUGAGAUAUUGAGGAGGAGGCAUGGCCUUGUACCCCUACUGGGGUCGAUGCUGGAAAAUCUCCUGUUAAAACUCUACCAUUUUCCUUCCUCUGUUCACAUUGAUUGAGGUGGUUCCUUCCUUUCUGUAGAGCUCUUGUCUCCUUGCCAUGGAAGGCAACAUUUAUUUCUAUCCCCCACCCCCUCUCAUGUGACAUUAAUAACAGGACACAAAUUGGGUGGGCAAUAGGUCAAAGAAUUUGUGAAAGUCACAUUCAAAAAAAUACUGUAAAGAAGCAAAAGGAGAUAUCUUAGAAUCAGAAUUAAUCAUUGAAAAUAAUACUUAUAAGUAUUUACUAACUUUGUAACUCAGUUAAGAAGUUCUUCACACCCUAGAUGUUCAAACAUUGAGGGAGAACAUGGCUAAUAUUUAUUAGAUACUACCAUGAGCUAAGCACUAUGUGUGGCCUACCAUACACGUGACUCAUUCAGUCUCACAAUGACCUGGGGAAACAACUAUAAUCAUCUCCACUUUAUGGAGAAAAAGAACUUUUCCAAGGUCUUGCAGCUAGCAUGUAGAGGGUCUAGGAUUUGAAUUUGGAACUUGCACCUUCAUUUUAUUUCUACCACACUAUACUCUUUUGAACAGAAGAUACAUAGCACACUUGUUCUGAGAGUAGACUUGCCUAUAAGAAUAGUAAAAUCUGGCCCUACCAUGUACUAAUUGUGUAAUUUUGACCAAAUUACUUAACCUUUCUCUGCCUCAGUUUCCUCAUUUGGAAAAUGGGAAUAAUCCAAACUCUGCCCUGUCAUUUUAGGAAAGUCCCUUAUCCCCCUGGGCCUUACUUUCAUGUCUCUGUAAUGAGGGACCUGCACUAGUGAUUUCUAAGGGAGCUUUUGUGCAAACAUUCAGCCAUAUUCUGGGCUUAGGGUCAUGAUUUUAUAUCAGUGCAGGGCAGUGAAAAGAGAAGAAAAGAGAAGCUUCAAGAAAUAUCUUACAAACAUAAGACUUGGUGGCUGAUUUCAUGGAAAAGGCAAAGAAGGAGCUUGAGUAAAAGAUGGCUCUGAGCUUUAGAGCCUGGAGGAAAGAUAUAUUUAUUUUUAAAUCAUCCAAAAGCCACUCUUGCUAUUGUGUUAGUUAUUGUCUCCAUUUGACCAAUGAAUCAAGGUUUUAAAAUAUCCAUUUGCUGUCCCUUAUUCGUUAUUCUUCUGUGAACAAGCUUAGUCCAUAACGGUCUAAAACCAUCAGCAGCUCAUUAGUCAUCAGAAGAUUUGUAACUAAGUGGUAAUAGAGAUUCCUGUAAUCUGGACUUCAGAGCUAAAGGAACGGGUAUCCAGUGAUGAAUCGUCCAGGCAGGGCUCUGAAAGGUGUCCUAAUGGAUGCAGCAAGUGAAGAUCUGUUCCAGAUGGACAUAUCUGCUGCUGCUUUUCUGUUCCUCACGCACAACACACCUUGGCUCAGCCAUCCUCCCUUCUUGCAAAGGCUCCUAGACUACCCUCUGGCAGGAAGAAUCUAAUCCAUCCUUCAAAGAAAAGCUCAAGCUGUUCAUGGAAUAGACACGUAUGGAGCCAGGCUCUGUGCUAGGUGCCAGCAAUGCAAAGAUGAAAGACACCUGUCUCAAAGAGCUCCCACCAGCUGGGCCUGGGGCAUCAUCCCCAAGCUCACACCUUGUCAUUCAUUUUGCUUGUCUAUUCAUGGUGGUUAAUUCCUGAGGACAAGGACUUUUUUCAUACUCUUCAUGAUACUUAUGUGCUGAGAGUGGGUGUUGAAAUGUAUUUGUACUUUGUUUUAUUUGGGAGAAAGGCCUUAUUGUGUAGCAGCUAAGAGAGAAGGCCAUAGGGUUAUAUGGAU
rnacentral:lncRNA from 1 species